CUACGGGUCGCACCAGUGAGGAAUAUUGCACAAUGGGGGGAACCCUGAUGCAGCAACGCCGCGUGGAGGAUGACGCAUUUCGGUGUGUAAACUCCUUUUAUAUGUCAAGAAAAUGACGGUAGCAUAUGAAUAAGCACCGGCUAACUCCGUGCCAGCAGCCGCGGUCAUACGGAGGGUGCAAGCGUUACUCGGAAUCACUGGGCGUAAAGGACGCGUAGGCGGGUUGGAAAGUCAGGUGUGAAAUCCUACAGCUUAACUGUAGAACUGCACUUGAAACUUCUAAUCUAGAGUAUGGGAGGGGGAGAUGGAAUUAGUGGUGGAGGGGUAAAAUCCGUAGAUAUCACUAGGAAUACCUAAGCGAAGGCGAUCUCCUGGAACAUUACUGACGCGAAGGCGUGAAAGCGUGGGGAGCAAACAGGAUUAGAUACCCCUGUAGUC
rnacentral:rRNA from 1 species